CGGGGUGUGGCGCAGUUGGCUAGCGUGCUAGCAUGGGGUGCUAGUGGUCGCCGGUUCGAGUCCGGCCACCCCGA
rnacentral:tRNA from 1 species